GAGUUAGGGUCUUCCAGGCCCGAUCUCCAACCCUUUGUAUAACUACCAUGUUGCUUUGGCGAGCCCGUCUUUAACCGGACCGCCGGGGGUCUUUUAACCUCUGGCCUGUGCUCGUCAGUAGCCUUUAACAAACUCUUUUAACCAUGUUAAAUCUGAAUAAUAGUCAAAAUAAACUAAAACUUUCAACAACGGAUCUCUUGGUUCU
rnacentral:misc_RNA from 1 species